rfam:Paenibacillus sp. MSt1 Contig_9, whole genome shotgun sequence.
UCACAGACAUGGCAAACUUGGCGAAAGUCAAGGACGCAAAGCUAUAGGGACUAAGGUGUAACACGAUGUCAGCCAGCUGCCGAA